AAAAGACCAGGGUCAGGAGCAAGUUAAAAGUAUUGCCAUUGUCUUCUCCAAGUAGUGGCAGCGAUCACCGUGGAAAGAAGGUGGGGAGUUCACGGAGGGGGAUGAAGCCAAGCACAGAGCUGGUUGACUUUGCAGCAAUGCAGCCACCAACUGUUUUCUCAACUCCUAUGUCGCAUGUUA